ACGAGUGUCGUGCCGGGCUCCGCGUGAGGACGGAUGGGGUGUGCGUUGUGCGGAAUGAUUGGGCGUAACGGGCUCGUAGGUGGUGUGUCGCUUCGGGAGUGAAAACCUCAUGCUUAACAUGUGGCGUGCGUUCGAUACGGGCAGACUAGAGGUAGGCAGGGGAGAGCGGAAUUCCUGGUGUAGCGGUGAAAUGCGCAGAUAUCAGGAGGAACACCGGUGGCGAAGGCGGUUCUCUGGGCAUUACCUGACGCUGAGGAGCUAAAGUGUGGGGAGCGAACAGGAUUAGAUACCCUGGUAGUC
rnacentral:rRNA from 1 species